GGUCCCAUCGUCUAGCGGUUAGGACAUCGGCCUCUCACGCCGAGAACCUGGGUUCAAAUCCCGGUGGGAUCACCA
rnacentral:tRNA from 1 species